rnacentral:rRNA from 1 species
AUUGAACGCUGGCGGUAGGCCUAACACAUGCAAGUCGAACGGCAGCAGAGUAAGAGCUUGCUGUUACGGGGGGCGAGGGGCGGGCGGUGGAUGAAUACAUCGGAAUCUACUGUUGCGUGCGUGCUGACGUAGGGGAUCUUACGCUAAUAGCGCAGACGACCUACGGGUGAAAGCAUCGGAUCUUCGGACCUUGCGCGAGUGAAUGAGCCGAUGUCGGAUUAGCGAGUUGGCGGGGUAAAGGCCCACCAAGGCGACGAUCCGUAGCUGGUCUGAGAGGAUGAUCAGCCACACUGGAACUGAGACACGGUCCAGACUCCUACGGGAGGCAGCAGUGGGGAAUAUUGGACAAUGGGCGCAAGCCUGAUCCAGCCAUGCCGCGUGGGUGAAGAAGGUCUUCGGAUUGUAAAGCCCUUUUGUUGGGAAAGAAAAGCAGCAAGUUAAUACCUCGCUGUUCUGACGGUACCAACAGAAUAAGCACCGGCUAACUUCGUG